CACGAACGCUGGCGGCAGGCUUAACACAUGCAAGUCGAGCGCCCCGCAAGGGGAGCGGCAGACGGGUGAGUAACGCGUGGGAUUCUACCCAUCUCUACGGAAUAACGCAUGGAAACGUGUGCUAAUACCGUAUACGUCCUUCGGGAGAAAGAUUUAUCGGAGAUGGAUGAGCCCGCGUUGGAUUAGCUAGUUGGUGGGGUAAAGGCCUACCAAGGCGACGAUCCAUAGCUGGUCUGAGAGGAUGAUCAGCCACGCUGGGACUGAGACACGGCCCAGACUCCUACGGGAGGCAGCAGUGGGGAAUAUUGGACAAUGGGCGCAAGCCUGAUCCAGCCAUGCCGCGUGAGUGAUGAAGGCCCUAGGGUUGUAAAGCUCUUUCACCGGUGAAGAUAAUGACGGUAACCGGAGAAGAAGCCCCGGCUAACUUCGUGCCAGCCGCCGCGGUAAGAC
rnacentral:rRNA from 1 species